AUUGAACGCUGGCGGCAGGCCUAACACAUGCAAGUCGAGCGGAGCGGCGGACGGGUGAGCAAUGCCUAGGAAUCUGCCUGGUAGUGGAGGAUAACGUCCGGAAACGGGAGCAAAACCCGCAUACUAUCAGAUGAGUCUAGGUCGGAUUAGCUAGUUGGGGGGGUAAGGGCCUACCAAGGCGACGAUCCGUAACUGGUCUGAGAGGAUGAUCAGUCACACUGGAACUGAGACACGGUCCAGACUCCUACGGGAGGCAGCAGUGGGGAAUAUUGGACCAUGGGCGAAAGCCUGAUGCAGCCAUGCCGCGUGUGUGAAGAAGGUCUUCGGAUUGUAAAGCACUUUAAGUUGGGAGGCGUUACCAACAGAAUAAGCACCGGCUAACUUCGUGCCAGCCGCCGCGGUAAUAC
rnacentral:rRNA from 1 species